AGGGAAACCGAGUCUUAACUGGGCGUUAAGUUGCAGGGUAUAGACCCGAAACCCGGUGAUCUAGCCAUGGGCAGGUUGAAGGUUGGGUAACACUAACUGGAGGACCGAACCGACUAAUGUUGAAAAAUUAGCGGAUGACUUGUGGCUGGGGGUGAAAGGCCAAUCAAACCGGGAGAUAGCUGGUUCUCCCCGAAAGCUAUUUAGGUAGCGCCUCGUGAACUCAUCUUCGGGGGUAGAGCACUGUUUCGGCUAGGGGGUCAUCCCGACUUACCAACCCGAUGCAAACUGCGAAUACCGAAGAAUGUUAUCACGGGAGACACACGGCGGGUGCUAACGUCCGUCGUGAAGAGGGAAACAACCCAGACCGCCAGCUAAGGUCCCAAAGUCACAGUUAAGUGGGAAACGAUGUGGGAAGGCUCAGACAGCCAGGAUGUUGGCUUAGAAGCAGCCAUCAUUUAAAGAAAGCGUAAUAGCUCACUGGUCGAGUCGGCCUGCGCGGAAGAUGUAACGGGGCUAAACUGUGCACCGAAGCUGCGGCAGCGACGCUUAUGCGUUGUUGGGUAGGGGAGCGUUCUGUAAGCCUGCGAAGGUGUCCUGUGAGGGAUGCUGGAGGUAUCAGAAGUGCGAAUGCUGACAUAAGUAACGAUAAAGCGGGUGAAAAGCCCGCUCGCCGGAAGACCAAGGGUUCCUGUCCAACGUUAAUCGGGGCAGGGUGAGUCGACCCCUAAGGCGAGGCCGAAAGGCGUAGUCGAUGGGAAACGGGUUAAUAUUCCCGUACUUGGUGUUACUGCGAAGGGGGGACGGAGAAGGCUAUGUUGGCCGGGCGACGGUUGUCCCGGUUUAAGCGUGUAGGCUGGUUUUCCAGGCAAAUCCGGA
rnacentral:rRNA from 1 species